CAAGGCGACGAUCCCUAGCUGGUCUGAGAGGAUGACCAGCCACACUGGAACUGAGACACGGUCCAGACUCCUACGGGAGGCAGCAGUGGGGAAUAUUGCACAAUGGGCGCAAGCCUGAUGCAGCCAUGCCGCGUGUAUGAAGAAGGCCUUCGGGUUGUAAAGUACUUUCAGCGGGGAGGAAGGUGUUGUGGUUAAUAACCGCAGCAAUUGACGUUACCCGCAGAAGAAGCACCGGCUAACUCCGUGCCAGCAGCCGCGGUAAUACGGAGGGUGCAAGCGUUAAUCGGAAUUACUGGGCGUAAAGCGCACGCAGGCGGUCUGUCAAGUCGGAUGUGAAAUCCCCGGGCUCAACCUGGGAACUGCAUUCGAAACUGGCAGGCUUGAGUCUUGUAGAGGGGGGUAGAAUUCCAGGUGUAGCGGUGAAAUGCGUAGAGAUCUGGAGGAAUACCGGUGGCGAAGGCGG
rnacentral:rRNA from 2 species